rnacentral:tRNA from 1 species
GCCACCUUAGCUCAAUUGGCAGAGCAGCGUAUUUGUAAUGCGCAGGUUGCCGGUUCGAUUCCGGCAGGUGGCU